rnacentral:lncRNA from 12 species
AUGGAAAUGAAGCCCACUGGGACAGUCACGGAGGUCUCCAGGGUCCCUCAGGGAAAGUGGCCCAGGCAUGGGGGUUCCCUCGCAGGCCUGGGCCCAAAUGCUCUUCUUCCUUCCCAGGACCUGGCUCAGAGGGAAGAGAGGAGACAAGCAGAACCCACAACCCAGAGGCCAUUCAUCGGCCUGUGGGGGAGGAAGCUGGUUCAGGGAGCCCCAAGGCCCUCAGGCCUGCCUUCCCAGGGCCUGCCAGAACCCCAACAUCUCCCCCAGGGGCCAGGCUGGGGCCUGGGCCAGCAGAGAGCAGAGCUUCAGAAAUUGCUGAGGAUUGAGAUUCUUCAGAGGCCGAGAGAGGAGGACCCUCAAGAGCAGAAAGAAGGGUGUCCCCGGGGUCAGAGAGGGGAGGCUGCCAGGGGAGAGAACAAAGACGUUCCCAAGAGACAGGGAGAGCAGCUACACCAGGGUCCGAGUGGGGGGGCUACUCAGGCUCUGAGGGAGGAGGUCUCUGUGUAUCCCAGGGGGGAGCCUCCCCAGAGUGAGAGGAGAGAGUGUCCUCAAGGUCACGGCGGAAACAGGCCUGAGUGUCCGGGAAAGGAGGGAAAGGAGGUCCUCCGGGAGCCGAGGAAGGAGACCCCGCAGGCCCGGGAAGUGAAGGCCCUUCAGACUUGCCCCCGCGGCCUCUCACAAGCCCGGGGGGCGGACGAGGGAGAGGUCCCCACACCGUCCCCGGAGGAAGGCGGCUCCCCGGGAAUUUCGAGGGACUCCCACCGGUCCCCGGGAGAACAGAAGCCCCAGCCUGCGGGGAGGGCGGGCCCUGGCUCCGGGGAAAGGACCACCCAGCUGACGCCGGACAGAACGGACGGCCCGGGGCGAGGAGAGCGGAGGGCCGAGCCGCAGGCGGCCCCAGACCCUGGGGGCUCCGGGCGGCGGGAGCGCCCCGCAGCUCUCCCGGGACGCCCGGGGCCGGGGCGCGACCCGGAAGGAGGCCCGGGCCCGGCGGAGCAGGUGCGGGGCGGCUCCGCGAGGCUCGUGGGCGCCGUCGGGGGGCGGAGGGGCGGCGCGGAGGCUCCCGACGCCUCGAAGGCCGCGUGGCCCGGGCCCCCGGGCGCGGAGAAGGCGUCGGCGGGCGCGGGCGCGGGCGCGGGGGCGAGCGCGGCGCAGCGGGAGACGGCGCUGCAGCGGCUGCUGGAGCUGCACCGGGCGGCCGGGCGCCGGCGGCGGCAGGAGCGGGAGCAGCAGCGGCUCCGGGUCUUGGAAGGCCUCCGCAUUGCCAAGAACCGCCGCUGCCGGGUGCACCCUCUGGGGCCCCCGCCCGGCCCAGCCCGGCUCCCGCCACAGGCAAGCCUCCCGGGGGAGGGCGGCGGGGCCACCGCGAUCCUGCCCGGGCGGGGGCCGGGGGCCGGGCGCUCCUGGGUCCCUUCCGAGGGCGCGCUCGCCCCGCCGCCGACUGAGGGCGCAGGGGCGCGCCUGCCCGGUGCUGCCCCCUGCGGGCUCCUUCGGGCCGCGGGCUGGGAGGCCGGGGCCUCAGGGCUCCACACCGCCCAGGAGGACGCGGCCCGGCAGCGGCGCGCCCUGCGGGAGCGGCUGCAGCAAGUGCUCCGGGAGCGGACCUGGCGGCUGCGGGCCCUCGGGGCCAGGUGA